rnacentral:rRNA from 1 species
UACGAGGGGGGGCGAGCGUUUGUUCGGAAUUAUUGGGCGUAAAGGGUGCGUAGGCGGUUUGGUAAGUCUUAUGUGAAAUCUACAGGCUCAACUUGUAGUCUGCAUGAGAAACUGCCGGGCUUGAGUGUGGGAGAGGUGAGUGGAAUUCCUGGUGUAGCGGUGAAAUGCGUAGAUAUCAGGAGGAACACCUGUGGCGAAAGCGGCUCACUGGACCAUAACUGACGCUGAUGCACGAAAGCUAGGGGAGCAAACAGG